AAAUGUUUGGAUCGAUUUUAUAAAAUAGAUAGGCUAUUUGCUCGUCGCUAGUGACUACUCUCUUCUAGUUUUUUCUGGUCUACAUCAUAAUAGUUAGCCAAAUAGCUGGUUGUUGGGGACAUCCUUAGUUGUACUGACCGGGGGAAAAGAAGUACGAUGUUUGUGUGAUAUGACAUGGUCUCUCAUAGAUACAUUUAAUUAAAUUUAUUUGAUGGAUUGGAUGGUGGUAACCAUAAUUUACAAAAAAGUAUACCGUGAGUAAAAUAUACAAUAGUCCUUAAACUUUUUCAUGAUUCUUACUUGGGUCCUUGCUAAAAAAAUUAUGACCAAUGUGAGUCCUAAAUCUAGUGUGGACUUUCAUCUGGGUCCUCCAAAAAACAUGGUGACCAUUUAGUGGUGGAGUGUUUGGCUGGUGCUCCGAUCUGAUCCGAGCCACUGGCUUGCCUUAUUAGAUCCCAUUCAUGCUACUAGCAGAGCUGUGUCCGAUCCAUACAUAUAGAGAGGGUCCAGUGAGUGCGGAAAUCUGCUGCUGAUGAGUUCCUACGACGACAUGGUAGUCAACCAACGUAUGUAGUUACUGAUCCUCCAUUAUCAUCAAUUCAUCAUCAUCGACUGGCAGACAGCAACGCAGGAGGCAAUCGAGGUACAUAAUUAUUAGACUCUUCUCAAUAACCCCAUUCUAUCUAGCU
rnacentral:lncRNA from 1 species